UCCUGGCUUAGGACGAACGCUGGCGGCGUAGCCUAACACAUGGCAAGUCGAAACGGGGGUCCAAUCCAGUGGCAACACUGGGGAAGACCUAGUGGCGAACGGGUGCGGAACACGUGAGCAACCUGCCCCAGAGACCGGAAUAACAGCGGGAAACCGCUGCUAAUACCGGAUACCCCCCUCGAGCCCGCAUGGGCCCGUGAGGAAAGGAUUCCGCUCGUGGGAGGGGCUCGCGGCCUAUCAGCUUGUUGGUGAGGUAACGGCUCACCAAGGCUCCGACGGGUAGCUGGUCUGAGAGGACGAUCAGCCACACUGGGACUGAGACACGGCCCAGACUCCUACGGGAGGCAGCAGUGGGGAAUCUUGCGCAAUGGGCGAAAAAGCCUGACGCAGCAACGCCGCGUGGGGGAUGAAUGCCUUCGGGUUGUAAACCCCUUUCAGUGGGAACGAAACUGACGGUACCCACAGAAGAAGCCCCGGCCAACUACGUGCCAGCCGCUGC
rnacentral:rRNA from 1 species